GGAAGAGCCGCUGUUUGCGGCCGCCGGUGCUCCGCGGGCCAGCGGCGCCCGGACGGGAGCGCGAGAGGCUCAAGCUUACCGCGUUAGAAAUACCUUGAGAGAACAAUGUCUGAACGGGAUCGUCUCCUCCUCCAGGGCUGAUGCUGCCACAUACACACCUGGAGUCCCCACCUCAAGCAUCCAGGGCACAGGCAGAAUUCUACAUUAGAAACAGCAUUUAUCCAACCUUAAAGACGAACUCUGACUGCUCUCACUCACCAACAGAUAAAGAGCCUGUCAAGCCUCCUGCUAAUACCACUCCAGAUGCUGAUGGCUCUAUCUUUCCCAGGCGAAGGGGGCUGGAAUCUCCAAGCACAACCAUUUUUCCAGCCAUGCCUUUGGACAUUGCCAGUUUUUCAGCUUGACAAGGAACAGACAAACCAGAAAACUGCAGAUGAAGCUGCAACAGAUGCAUUUGCCACUUAAAGACAAUUAAUAUGAUCAGCUACCCAGGCACUUGGGGUAAGGUGUGUCACAAUCCUCUCUGGCAAACACAGGGCCGCUGCCCAAGUCCAUAAUGAGCAGUUUCUGUGUCAGUGACUGCAGGCUGCCAAGGGACUGUGUUUCUUUGAUUUCCUAGAACAGCAGAAUCCCUAGGAAUGACCUUUGCAAGUUCACUGUCAUCACAUGCUCCUCUGGGGCUGGUUUCUGUUUGGCACGAGACUGAGACAGAAAAGUCCAUCUCAAUGGCUCAAGAGGAACAGAAAAAAACCCUAAUGUGUCUUUCCCCAAAGUUGGCUGCAUUUCUGUCAUGUCCAAGGAAUUAUUAUUUAUUUCAAAUAGCUGUGAGUAAUUUGGAAAGAACCUCUUACAAAGAGGCUCAAGUCUAUUGCUUUUGCUCCCCGCCGGCACAAUAGUUUCCAGGGAUAUCUUUGGGAGUUUCAGACAUGUACAGGAAACAGCCUGUCAGAGGCAGAAUCUCUGCUGUGGAUUUGGGGCAAUUAUGCUUUCCAAAUCUUAGGCAAUAAGGGACCAAAAGAGAACAAAUCCAGAGAGUGGAGAGGAAAAACCACUCUUGCUACAAAUUAAUUUAUUUCACCAAGGAGAAUUGAGGUUCUUGUACAAACAAAGACUGUCCAUUGUAAGCACAGUAACACAUUAAGUUCAGUUGGAAAAGAGCAGAGGCCAAACAAUAUCUUGUGAAUGGAUAUAAUUGAGGAUGGAUUUAACUCUCAUAAACAGAACCACUGGGAAUGUAAAGUGAAGGAUAAUGCUGCACAUAUUUGGUCAGCUUUGUCUAUGUAGUAAAGAUUUACAAAUUAUGAAGGUGCCCAUAAUAGCAUUUUAACCCCUUCACAAGGUCCUCUUAUUUCUGCUCAAGGAAUGUUCCACUUACAUUAGAACACACAGAUCCAAACAGGCAUUGCAGAAAAAGAACAAUAUUCAGCGUAUGUGCUGUAGGUGACACUGAACCCGCCUCCCCAUCCAACUUGAAACAUAUCAUGGAGUAUUUAGACAGCCUUAUUUUAGGGACCUAAAAUUAGUUCCUCUGAAUCACACUUUAGAAGAACCUAUUUUUGUCCCAUACUACACAGGAAACUUAAGUUCUUCAUUCAGAUGCUGUAAUUACUCUUGCCCUCAUCCCCCAAAUAGACAAAUUCCCUGUAAAAUAGAAGUUUAUGUGACAGGGAUGUUUCUGAGUUGCCUCUUGGCACCUUUCAGUGCCAGCUUUGGAUGACCGACCUGUUUAGAAACACGGGGCUGAGGGAAAGUCUGAGGAGCCUCAUAAAAAAGCAGGCUAUUCCUCUUUAUUUCUGUAGUGGGGCUUUGUGAGAUAUGGGGCUCAUAGACCUGGACAGGUAUGAUACAGGUAAUAUGAAGCUCCUGUUGGAUUGGCUAUCCUUUUCCAAACUGUACAAUCAUAGAAUCAUAGAAUGGUUUGGGUUGGAGGGGACGUUAAAGCUCAUUCUUGUAACCACUGCCAUGGGCAGGGGCACCUUCCACUAUCCCAAGUUGCUCCAAGCCCUGUCCAACCUGGCCUUGGACACUUCCAGAGGUGGAGCAGCCACAGCU